rnacentral:tRNA from 1 species
AGGGGCGUAGCGUAAUGGUACUCCAAACCCCGUUAGGGGUGCGAUAGGAUUCCGAAGGAAUCCCGACGGCGCAUCGGGUUUUGAUCCCGUAAGUAUGAGUUCGAUCCUCAUCGCCCUUA